CCUAAACUGCUCUCUGAUAACCUCCGUUAGUAUCUCCAUGUUUUUUCUUCCUUCGUAAGAGAAAAAAUCCUGCUUUUUUCUUUUUUUCGUGAAAAAUUGGGGUUUGCUCUCUCUUUUUUUAAAAAAAAAAAGGAUUUGUUCUUCUUUCGUUUUCAUAUCUUUUCUGAUUGUUCAUCGUUGAUUUUGCUUUAAUUAUUGUUUGUUUGUUUUUUUUUUGCAGAGACGAUUUUUGCCGAAAAGAAUAAAUAACCAAGGCCAGUUCUGUAUUGGGAUUUUUAUACCGAAGAAGAGUUUGCUAUGUAAAAGGAAAGUGAAUUUCUUUUGGAGUUAGUAUAUUCUGAUUUAGUCGUAGUAGACAAGAAGGAAAAAGAGGUGAAUUUUGUGGAGUUCGUAUUAUUCUGAUUAUAUGUGUUUGAUAAACUAUUUUCUUAUUGUUAAUUUUUUGAUGUUGGAAAUGGUUGAUUAGAUCCUUUAGGAUUCUAAUAUCGCACCCUGAAUUUUUUUGGUAGGAUUUAUAUUCACUGUUAGUUCAUUGUAGUCCAUGUACCAUUUGUCUAAGAUUUUUGUUCGGUUUGCUAGAUCGACCCUUCGGAAUAUUGCAAUAGGACUGUCUUUGAGGAUGCCACACCCGAAUUGCUCAGGCAUUUCUCCUGGGAUGAUGAUUUCCCGUCCAAUCAGGAUGCAAUAUCAUACUCAUACAUUCUAAGGCAUAAGAGGAAUGCCCUACUAAAGGAACCAUGGUAGUCCAUUGGACACGUAAGAUUUGGUGAUUACCUUAGGCUCUUCAUACAUUUAAUGGACUAGGCUUAACUCAUCUUCUUAGUAGUUCAUUUUGGUGAUAAUAUUCUUCUGAAUUCUAUAUUCUGGUGAAGUUUCUCUUCGUCUACAACGACAGAGAAUACAUAAUAGAACGUCGAAUAUGGGAUGCAGGAAGACCAUAUUGGUGUGUCACUAAGGUAUGGUGGAAACAUACAACUAUUUUGUUGUUGUAGAGCCUCCAGUUUGAUGUCAUCCAAUGUUGAGAAUUUUAUGCCUGUAAGCUAUUUGUUGGAACAAAAAAAAUAUUGAUCAUCAAAGUUAUGUAUACUAAACAGCAUAGUUACGAACCUUGACAUGAUGCAUUCAUUUUUCACGCAUAUAAAGGGAACGACGGUGCUGUGGCACAAAGAACAUAGUUUAGUUUCAUUGCUUGACAUGGUUCUUCCUUAAAAAAAUUUAUUUUGACAUGUUUAAUUUCUUUUUACAAUAAAGUUUCAUGGUUUAGUUGGUCCAUUAAUGAAUGAUUGAAUUGUAUCGCACCAGAUGAAAUGAUUCCACGUCUAUAAACACCACACAUACAUGCCAAAUCACCGGUAUCAAUAAAUCUACAUUUAACUGGAGGAAGAAGUGGUGACCUUCUCAUGGUGGAAUUUGGUUGGGUUGGCAACUCCAUUUUGCGGCACA